AAGUCGUAACAAGGUUUCAUUCGAACAGCAUCCUUCCGGGGCGCUUGCCGAAGCCUAUGCAACCCUCACGGGGUCCGCGACUAUAAACACAGGAUGCAAGUCGCGAUGGCGGCAACAUAAUCGAAUUGCGGGGAUCUCCUAAAGCCAAGCAGUACCAACACCGUCCAGAAAUGUAGGGUGGGCCAGCGUUAAUCCCGCUGGAGGUUAGAAUCUGCUAGGAUGCCACAAUGGAUGAUCCGCAGCGAAGCCCCUAACGGCGCCAGCCUACGGGGAACGUUCACAGACUAAGUGGUUGUGGGUAGGCUCGUCCUGCUUAAGAUAUAGUCGGGCCCUGUAGGAAACUACAGGGGCUAGCCGUUCCGUAGGUGAACCUGCGGAAGGAUCAUUACAGAGUUCAUGCCCUUCGGGGUAGACCUCCCACCCUUGUGGUAUCAUUAUAGAAUGUUGCUUUGGCGGGCCGCGCCUCGUGCGCCUAGAUUCGCGUCUAGCGUGCCCACCAGAGGACCCCUAAACUCUGAAUGUUAGUGUCGUCUGAGUACUAUUAAAUAGUUAAAA
rnacentral:misc_RNA from 1 species